GGGGUCUUAGCUCAGCUGGGAGAGCAUCUGCCUUACAAGCAGAGGGUCACAGGUUCGAGCCCUGUAGGCCCCA
rfam:Lachnoclostridium sp. YL32, complete genome.